AGCCACCCCACGGCUGGCAGCGCCACCAACAGCAGCAGCCGGACGGGCAGCGGCGCCGAUAGGGCACCCUCCAUCUUGGACAACACCGGGCGCCGGGCGGCGGGAGGAUCUCAUGUAGCCUAGGCUGGCCUUGUGCUACUACUGAUCGUGCUGCUACCACCUCCUGAGUGCUGGAAUUACAGGAGUGCGCCACCCUCUCACCUCCUCAACCCCGCCGUUACUUUUUCACUAGUAUCAUCAGUAUGUUCAUAUAUUUACAAAAUGAAAACACAAGUAGUAUGUUAUAAACUGUUAUGAAUGAAAAAUAAAACAUUUAACAUUUGGAAGGGGUA